rnacentral:rRNA from 1 species
CAUGCAAGUCGAGCGAUAAGAGUAGUAAUACUCCGAAAGCGGCGGACUGGUGAGUAACGCGUGGGUAAUCUACCUAAUGGUUGAGGAUAGCCACUAGAAAUAGUGGGUAAUACUGGAUAUCCUCUCCUUACAAAAGUAAGCAGAGAAAAGAAGCUACGGCUUCGCCACUAGAUGAGCCCGCGUCUCAUUAGCUAGUUGGUAUGGUAAAAGCACACCAAGGCAAUGAUGGGUAGCCGGCCUGAGAGGGUGAACGGCCACAUUGGGACUGAGAUACGGCCCAAACUCCUACGGGAGGCAGCAGCUAAGAAUAUUCCGCAAUGGGCGAAAGCCUGACGGAGCGACGCCGCGUGAACGAUGAAGGCCGGAAGGUUGUAAAGUUCUUUUAUUGCUGAAGAAUAAACAGGAAAGGAAAUGUUCCUGCGAUGACGAUAGGCAAUGAAUAAGCCCCGGCUAAUUACGUGCCAGCAGCCGCGGUAACACGUAAGGGGCAAGCGUUGUUCGGAAUUAUUGGGCGUAAAGGGCACGUAGGCGGUUUAGCAAGCGUGAUGUGAAAGGCAGAAGCUUAACUUCUGGAUUGCAUUAGGAACUGCUAGACUAGGGUCAGAGAGGGGCAGUUGGAAUUCCGUGUGUAGGGGUGAAAUCUGUAGAUAUGCGGAAGAACACCGGUGGCGAAGGCGAACUGCUAGCUUAUGACUGACGCUGAGGUGCGAAAGUGCGGGGAGCGAACAGGAUUAGAUACCCUGGUAGUCCGCACUAUAAACGAUGCACACUAGGUGUUGGAUCUAUGAUUUAGUGCCGAAGUUAACGUGAUAAGUGUGCCGCCUGGGGAGUAUGCCCGCAAGGGUGAAACUCAAAGGAAUUGACGGGGGCCCGCACAAGCGGUGGAGCAUGUGGUUUAAUUCGAUGAUACGCGAGGAACCUUACCUGGGUUUGACAUGGGGAGUAAUGGUGCAGAGAUGUGCCAGCGUAGAAAUACGAUUCUCCACAGGUGCUGCAUGGCUGUCGUCAGCUCGUGCCGUGAGGUGUUGGGUUAAGUCCCGCAACGAGCGCAACCCUUACUGUCAGUUACUACCAAGUAAAGUUGAGGACUCUGACGGAACUGCCGGCGUAAGCUUGGAGGAAGGUGGGGACGACGUCAAGUCAUCAUGGCUCUUACGUCCAGGGCUACACACGUGCUACAAUGAUCGGUACAAAGUGAAGCGAAGCCGCGAGGCUGUAGCAAACCACAGAAAGCCGAUCGUAGUUCGGAUUGCAGUCUGAAACUCGACUGCAUGAAGUUGGAAUCGCUAGUAAUCGCAUAUCAGCAUGGUGCGGUGAAUACGUUCCCGGGCCUUGUACACACCGCCCGUCACACCAUCCGAGUUGGAGGUACCCGAAGUCGGUAGCCUAACCUUGUAAAAGGAGGGCGCUGCCGAAGGUACGUUUAGUGAGGAGGGUGAAGUCGUAACAAGGUAGCCGUACUGGAAAGUGCGGCU